rnacentral:tRNA from 1 species
GUUUUAAUAAUUUAAUAAAAAUAUCAAUCUUGUAAGUUGAAAUUAGAUACCGUCUUUAAAACA